GCCGUUGUGGGCCAUGGUGGCCACCCUCCCAAAUUGGCAGCUGUGACAGAUGAUUUGAAGAGGGAAGCGGGGGUUCGAAUCCUCCCGAUGGUA